UACGUAGGGUGCAAGCGUUGUCCGGAAUUAUUGGGCGUAAAGAGCUCGUAGGCGGUUUGUCACGUCGGAUGUGAAAACCCGAGGCUUAACCUCGGGCCUGCAUUCGAUACGGGCUGACUAGAGUUCGGUAGGGGAGACUGGAAUUCCUGGUGUAGCGGUGAAAUGCGCAGAUAUCAGGAGGAACACCGGUGGCGAAGGCGGGUCUCUGGGCCGAUACUGACGCUGAGACGCGAAAGCGUGGGGAGCAAACAGG
rnacentral:rRNA from 1 species